UACGAAGGGGGCUAGCGUUGUUCGGAAUUACUGGGCGUAAAGCGCGCGCAGGCGGCCAUUCAAGUCAGGGGUGAAAGCCCAGAGCUCAACUCUGGAACUGCCCUUGAAACUGUAUGGCUUGAGUAUGAGAGAGGUGAGUGGAAUUCCCAGUGUAGAGGUGAAAUUCGUAGAUAUUGGGAAGAACACCGGUGGCGAAGGCGACUUACUGGACACAUAUUGACGCUGAGGUGGCG
rnacentral:rRNA from 1 species